rnacentral:rRNA from 1 species
GGGAUGCGUUCCAUUAGAUAGUAGGCGGGGUAACGGCCCACCUAGUCUUCGAUGGAUAGGGGUUCUGAGAGGAAGGUCCCCCACAUUGGAACUGAGACACGGUCCAAACUCCUACGGGAGGCAGCAGUGAGGAAUAUUGGUCAAUGGGCGAGAGCCUGAACCAGCCAAGUAGCGUGAAGGAUGACUGCCCUAUGGGUUGUAAACUUCUUUUAUAAAGGAAUAAAGUCGGGUAUGUAUACCCGUUUGCAUGUACUUUAUGAAUAAGGAUCGGCUAACUCCGUGCCAGCAGCCGCGGUAAUACGGAGGAUCCGAGCGUUAUCCGGAUUUAUUGGGUUUAAAGGGAGCGUAGAUGGAUGUUUAAGUCAGUUGUGAAAGUUUGCGGCUCAACCGUAAAAUUGCAGUUGAUACUGGAUAUCUUGAGUGCAGUUGGGGCAGGCGGAAUUCGUGGUGUAGCGGUGAAAUGCUUAGAUAUCACGAAGAACUCCGAUUGCGAAGCAGCC